AGUGAACGCUGGCGGUAGGCCUAACACAUGCAAGUCGAACGGCAGCACAGUAAGAGCUUGCUCUUACGGGUGGCGAGUGGCGGACGGGUGAGGAAUACAUCGGAAUCUACUUUUUCGUGGGGGAUAACGUAGGGAAACUUACGCUAAUACCGCAUACGACCUACGGGUGAAAGCAGGGGAUCUUCGGACCUUGCGCGAUUGAAUGAGCCGAUGUCGGAUUAGCUAGUUGGCGGGGUAAAGGCCCACCAAGGCGACGAUCCGUAGCUGGUCUGAGAGGAUGAUCAGCCACACUGGAUCUGAGACACGGUCCAGACUCCGACGGUAGGCAGCAGUGGGGAAUAUUGGACAAUGGGCGCAAGCCUGAUCCAGCCAUACCGCGUGGGUGAAGAAGGCCUUCGGGUUGUAAAGCCCUUUUGUUGUGAAAGAAAAGCAGCAGGUUAAUACCCCGCUGUUCUGACGGUACCCAAAGAAUAAGCACCGGCUAACUUCGUG
rnacentral:rRNA from 1 species